UUGGUUAAGUUAGAAAGGGCGCACGGUGGAUGCCUUGGCACUAGGAGCCGAAGAAGGACGGGACUAACACCGAUAUGCUUUGGGGAGCUGUACGUAAGCGUUGAUCCAGAGAUUUCCGAAUGGGGGAACCCACUAUCUUUAGUCGGAUAGUAUCCUUACGUGAAUACAUAGCGUGAGGAAGGCAGACCCAGGGAACUGAAACAUCUAAGUACCUGGAGGAAGAGAAAGAAAAAUCGAUUUCCUGAGUAGCGGCGAGCGAAACGGAAAGAGCCCAAACCAAGAAGCUUGCUUCUUGGGGUUGUAGGACACUCUAUACGGAGUUACAAAAGAAAGUUAUAAAUGAAGCGGUCUGGAAAGGCCCGCCAAAGACGGUAACAGCCCGGUAGUUGAAAUGGCUUUCCCUCCAGAGUGGAUCCUGAGUACGGCGGAACACGUGAAAUUCCGUCGGAAUCCGGGAGGACCAUCUCCCAAGGCUAAAUACUCCCUAGUGACCGAUAGUGAACCAGUACCGUGAGGGAAAGGUGAAAAGCACCCCGGAAGGGGAGUGAAACAGUUCCUGAAACCGUGUGCCUACAAGUAGUUAGAGCCCGUUAAUGGGUGAUAGCGUGCCUUUUGUAGAAUGAACCGGCGAGUUACGAUUUGUUGCAAGGUUAAGCGGAAAAAGCGGAGCCGUAGCGAAAGCGAGUCUGAAUAGGGCGCAUAAGUAACAGGUCGUAGACCCGAAACCAGGUGAUCUACCCAUGUCCAGGAUGAAGGUAAGGUAAUACUUACUGGAGGUCCGAACCCACGCACGUUGAAAAGUGCGGGGAUGAGGUGUGGGUAGCGGAGAAAUUCCAAUCGAACUUGGAGAUAGCU
rnacentral:rRNA from 2 species